GGAAAGCACACAGCAUCACGGUCUUUCUCCAUACAGACUAAUUCCCUCCAGGUUAACAAUCAUGAAGUGUGAAUGAACAAAAAGUUAAACAAACAAAAAGCUAGUUGAAGGCCUGAAGAGUAACCAAAAGCAUAAACUGGAGGGUCGUCUUCCCCUAAAAGAAGAGAACUUCAAGAUGUACAAGUUUGCACCUUUUGCCUGAAGGCAGUCCUCAUUCUUCAGAAG
rnacentral:lncRNA from 10 species